AAGCCUGUGAUGAUUUCUUUAAGAUUGGAAUUACCGUCUGAAUAUCAAUUGAUGUCAAUUUUUAAGACUGGCUGUCUGAGGCUUCAC